ACAAACACAUUGUAGAACACCUUACCUAGUUACUUUACACCUGUAACGGUAUGAACUUGAACAUUGUCAAGGCUGGAGACUGGACUCAAACAUUUUUUUUGUUUGUUUGUUUUUUCCCCCCAGAUUGAUCUUCAUGAAGAUCGUCAAAUAGUAGGUGUCAUGAUUUAAUUCUGGGUGGCCGCUGUGUCACCCACUCUUUCUUGGCCGCCGUGCCUACAUCUCUGCAUUGUCCAACAUGGCCACGUUCUUUCUAUUCUCCUGCUUUCCAUCUGUCAAAUAGCUGAGGGUUGUACAUGGAGCAUUUGCCACAGGUUGGCUAUGUAUGUUCCUGUCCACUUUAUUGGGUGGUCUGAAAUCUGGUCCUUGUUGGUUAUAUUUUUGUGGAACUGCUGAGAGAGUGAUGUGAAAGAAUGAGGUGACUGAUGGAGUGUUUGAAAUUCUCUCUCUGAAUGAAGGGGUUGUCUGGGACUGAGAUGCCUGGAUUGAAUAGUUAAGAUGGUCUGAGAAUAUGAUUAUGUUCAGCAGUUCACAUUAAAGUAGAUAUAGUGUCUUGAAGGGUUUAGAUGCUUGAUAAGUUAUAAUGCACUAACAUUUCCUUUUAGGUCUGUCUACAAAGGGUGAGUCCAUAUUUUUUUAUUUCUUCUCUGGGGGCUACCGUCUUGUCCUCCAUGUGUUGUAGGGUUUGCAGAGUAGGGGAAUAAACAAAAUAAAACUUGUGUGUUGUGUUUUUUGAAAGUGAUGGUACUUAGGUGUCGGCAACUGACUUGCUAGUCUAGCUGCCCACGGCUAACUACCAUUUCACACUGACAAUUUACAUGCAAAGGUAAGAACACGUUUUCUUGCUUUGCCACUGUGCCCUUAACCACUUUUUCUUUCCAACUGUUACGCAGGCCGCGGGCCAUCGCUCUUCCGGCCGCUGUGUCGAUCUGUCCUGGCCCUCCUCGUGCCUUUCCUCACUUCUAAAAGGAAAAAACCUUCAUGACCUACUUGUGUCAUUGUACCUCUGGCCUUGCGCGUAUAGUAAUUUUACAUAGGCAAACAUGGGCGCCUUCCGUGUCCAUGCACAGUAAGUGAACUAACCUGUACUUUUCUUUUAGCAUCAGUCAAGAGGAGCACCGACAUCACUGCAUGUCCAUCCUAAUUAGUUUGCGUUUUAGUUAAAAUUAAAAUUUCAAAUGGUAAGUGCAGUUUUUCUUUCUUGCUUGGCCGCUGUGCCAUUACUAUACCUGCUGUGACCUGAAUCUUGAUUCUUCAUGGCCACUGUGUCAUGACUGUACUUGGUCUUGGUGUUUAUGCCAGUCUAUCAUUUCUGAUCUGUUUUUCCUACUAAGUUUUCGUGUGUGUGUGUGUACUGACGUUUAUCUGACCUUUGGACCAAGACUAACGCUCCAAUUGACUUUACCAGAAAGGUGAACAAAAUGUAUGCUGCAAGACUGGCAAGAUGCACACCAAUUAGACAACAAGCAAAUUCAUUCAAAAACAGGUAAUAUUUUUUACCUUUCAGGUAAGUAUUAAAGGCCUUUGCCACACGAUCUUUGUGGGUAAAUCGUGUCCACUCAAUUUAUAAAGUUAAUUUGCAUCUAAACAUUUACAAUGCCUGACAUAAUGGCAUUACAAUAAUCAAAUUUUUUGUUUUGCAAAGGCCUUUAUUUACACACUGACGCAUGCCAAGACUGCCAUCAUGGUAUGUGUCACUGUCUCUCUCUCUCGCUGUUCUGUCUCUCUCUCUCUCUCUGUGGUCUGUCUGUCCUGUGUGUCUUUCUGUCUGUCUGUCUCAUGUGUCUGGUGUCCGCCUGUCAGUCUCGAGUGUCUGGUCUCUGCCUGUCUCGUGUCUGGUCUGUGUCUUGUCUGCCUGUCUGUCCUUUGUCUUUCUGUCUCUCUCUGUGUCUGUUUCUCUUUCUUUCAGUCUGUCUUGUGUGUCUGGUCUCUGUCUGUCCUGUGAGUCUGGUCUCUGUCUGUCCUGUGUGUCUGGUGUCCGUUUGUCCUGUGUGUCGGAUUUAGUCACUUUUUUAGUCUCAACUUAAAUGGAUGAUUUUAAAGUUGAUUAGUCUUGAGGUGUCUGAUUUUCUGCAGGAAAUUCUGGUACCUUAUUUUGAAAUGGCUUUAAUUUAAAAAUGUAAUUUUGGUUGCAACCUGGACUGUUGACAAUCGUGGAAGCUGAUGAAUCAUGUAGUAAAUGCAUCAAAGUUUACUGUAGCUUGUCUAAAGUUCUUUCAAAGUGCUGUAAAAAUGUAGUAAUUGAUUAUGAUGAGCUGUACCAGGUCUUCCUUUAUUCUCAACUGGUAAUUGCUUUGAUAAGAUAACUGGGUCCUGAUUUGAUUAUGAAGCUAAACUUUUGAUUUAUAUGCAAGUGUAGUCACAUUAGAUUGUAGGUGUUAUUCAGCCCAUAUAUAAUGUUAUGAUAUACUUUAAAUGUGGCAUUUGUUUGCACACUUUUGAUAUCCAUUUAAGUCUUAAACUUUACACACUGCCAUCAGCCUUUGUAGUUGCUAACUGAAAUCAAAUUCAAUAUUAAUGCUGACUUGUCUCACUCUGCCAAGUUUAUUUCCCUCUAAAGGAGUUGAACCUUUUUGUGUUCAUAGUCUUUUUGCGCGUCAUGUUGGGAGGCCUCCCAGCAGGGGAUUUUUAUCUUCCCCUGCAAAACUAUGCGUUACUCGCCUUAGGGAUGCAGGGCUAUCCUGCAUAGUUUCUUACAUAAAUUAGAUUGUAGGAUGCAGGAUUAUAGCGCGUUUCUUUUCUUUAGGAGGACACAAACCUGGCAGAGAGACAACUCGGAUUAUUUAAGUGAAAGUUGCGCCAAAUGUUAGAACCUUUUAUCUUUCGAUGCGAUGACUUGAAAUAAAACCUUUAUUCUGUGGGCUGAAUUCAGACAGAAAUCAGACCAAAUUUGGCUUCAUGUUAAUGACUGUUUUGCAAGUACCCUCUUGUAGCAGGAGUGAGCAGCUGCAGCUUUUUAAUUUAUUUUUCGUUAUUUGAUUUGUUUCUUGGAUUGACUUGAUGUCUGGAGCUUUGUGUUUAACAGUGAUCAUGUGUAAACACAAGUGGUCUUUUGCCUCUUAUUUGUGAAGCUGGCAGCUGGUUUAAAUGAUAGGACUUUAUGGCUUGCCCAAAGUGGCUUGCCCAAAGUGGGAUUUUUGAGUAACCUGACCUCUAAAUGUUUGGGAAACCAUGCAAAAGAUCGCAAGCUCUCUCUAUGACCCAACAGCAUCGAUGUUUGAGUUAUUUAAUUGCUCAAUUUUUAAAUCAGUCAAGAUUUUAUGAGCUGGGUCUUCUUCACACAACAGAGAACAAGGUAAAUUGAGUCGACUCGUAACAUGGUAAGGCAUUUCGUCCUUCCCCUUCUUCUCCGUGUGUGUGAAGAAAUCUGGCCACGGAUCCUGACUGAAUGGCAUACCAUGGCUGUGCAAUUUCCAAAAUCAGACAAGGAUCCAUCUGAUUUUGUGACUCCGCCUGUCAUGAUAUGCAUGUAUCUUCCUCCGAAACAAAGGAUUGGAAUGGACAGGUUUGUAGUGUAAAUCACAUCACUUGUAGAUGGUGAAGCAUUUGUUUAAAUUGGGGGUCAAGCAUUUUCAGGUGUCUGCUUUGUCAAUACUCUGGUGCCUUGUCUUGCUAAACACACAAGAAGCUCUGAAUUGCGAAACUGCUGCCUCUUGCAGAUGUUACAACAGCAAUGGCUGUUGAAAGGCUGCAGGGAGAGAACAUGAGAUCUGAGGACAGGAAAGUGGAAUUGAUUUCAUGCUUAGCAAAAUGAGGGUUUCAGCAGAGGACGUUUUUGUGGCGAAGCUACAGAAUCGGAAGGAACGUUUGUCUGGGCAACUGGGAGAUUUACAGUUUUUCAUGCAGCCAACCAAGACAUUGGGGUUAGCAUCAUCCCAAAUGGCUGGCAAAGAUUACUUGUAACUGUCAGUGUAGGACAGGAAAGGCAGGUAUAGGUUAGGGAGGGCAUCCAUCGGUGAGCUCUGACUGGAUGUGAGGACCUGUCACACUUGACCAGAGAUGAAGGCUGCAGCACAUUCCUGGAUCAGAGGACUCCAUGUUGGACACCACGACCUGGAGAAGUCCCGUCCUGGAUGGCUGUGGUGAUAACCCAAGAUGAACCGACCCUUCUACGACGAGGACUUCGCCCAAGAUGAACUGACCUUUUCCACCUCUUUUCCACGGGAUGUCUUCAGAUGUUGGACCUUGCCAAACUGUACACAUGCCUCAAUGGCUGCUACGUCACUCUACCCAACAGGACAUGGUCACCAAGAUAUAUAUAUAUUUUUUUUUAAAUGGACUUUAACCCCCCCGUCCCCACUGACCCACAACCACAUAUUACAAAACACUGUACAUGUGAUGCAUUACCAGACUAAAAUACAGACACUGCUACUUUCAGCCUGUAAUGUUAGACAUUGAAAACUUGUAUUUAUUGCCUUCUUUAUAUCAAGUAAAACUUUUGUUCUUAACUUUAUGGUUGACUUGUAUUUUUUCAGUGAUUCUGUGAUGAGUGUUAUUUUGACAAGUUAGUGCUUUGAACUUAAAGAUGUGGAAUUUUUUUAAAACGAAUUGCACUGAUCUGUUACUGUAGACUUGGCACCUUUUGACACUGCUCCAAGUGUUCGGUUGACCUUAACCAGAAAACUCAAACCCUAUAUGGAUUUGUACAAGGUUUUAAAGGGAAUAUAAUAAAUUCGACUCUAAAGCAGGGAAUGCUACAGUGGAUGGUGAUGCUGCUACUUGCCCCCAUCUCACAACUUCUUUACUUCUAGCCACUAACACUAAAUAUAGCUAAUGCUUUAAAAUGCCUUCUUUUAACUACAGAUGUAUUUUU